rnacentral:rRNA from 1 species
UUAGAGUUUGAUCCUGGCUCAGAUUGAACGCUGGCGGCAGGCCUAACACAUGCAAGUCGAACGGUAACAGGAAACAGCUUGCUGUUUCGCUGACGAGUGGCGGACGGGUGAGUAAUGUCUGGGAAACUGCCUGAUGGAGGGGGAUAACUACUGGAAACGGUAGCUAAUACCGCAUAACGUCGCAAGACCAAAGAGGGGGACCUUCGGGCCUCUUGCCAUCGGAUGUGCCCAGAUGGGAUUAGCUAGUAGGUGGGGUAACGGCUCACCAAGGCGACGAUCCCUAGCUGGUCUGAGAGGAUGACCAGCCACACUGGAACUGAGACACGGUCCAGACUCCUACGGGAGGCAGCAGUGGGGAAUAUUGCACAAUGGGCGCAAGCCUGAUGCAGCCAUGCCGCGUGUAUGAAGAAGGCCUUCGGGUUGUAAAGUACUUUCAGCGGGGAGGAAGGGAGUAAAGUUAAUACCUUUGCUCAUUGACGUUACCC